GCUCACUGUGCCAGACAGAACAUCAGUCCAAGAAAUUGAAGGGAGCUUAGCCCCGUGAUGAAAAAAACUCAAUUGAAAUGGGAAGAUGAAUUGCCAGGUCAGUGCAGGACUGUCUGAGCCCCAACUGGCUCUUUGCCUCAGUACAACCCUGAUAAUUAAGCUGGAAGAAGAAAGCAGUGCCAACCAGCAAAUACAAGAGACAUGACCAGAAGUUGAUAAGGAACCAUAUAUCCAUCUCCUAUUGAACUAAACAUGAGCUGAUUUGGGCCCAAGGAGAAUAGUAACCGGUCAUGUAUACUCUCAUCAGAAAUGAAAGAAAAUGUUUCCCUUUUCCUGCGUAAAGGCAUAAACAGUGUGACUGCAACUCAGCAAAAGUUGUGAGGAAAAAUCAAAG